UUGCUGGGCUCUCUUGCAGCUUAAAAACAGCCAUACCUUCUGAAUUGACUGUACCAAACGCAACCAGCUUAUCCGUUUACCUGAGAUAUGCUAUCAAUAUCGGUAUACUGUAUUCUAUAUGGAAACUACAUUUAUAUCACACAAUGUCUUGUUUGUUUAUUUAUUUGAAAGAACAGUCAAUGCAAUGGAAUUGAAUAUAGGCUAGUAUACGAACCUGAGCCCUAGGACCAUACGUCAGGACUACCGGGCAUGCUGACACCUUGCUGUCCCCAGUCCGCCCGGCCUUGCUGUUAUUCCAGUUUCAACUGUUUCUGCCUGCGGUUACGAAACCCCUACCUGUCCCAGACCUGCUGUUUUCAACUCUUAAUGAUCGGCUAUGAAAAGCCAACUGAGAUUUAUUCCUGAUUAUUAUUUGACCAUGCUUGUCAUUUAUGAACAUUUUGAAAAUCUUGGCUCUCUCUAAUUUUCUCCUUCUCUCUUUCUCUCGGAGGACCUGAGCCCUAGGACCAUACGUCGGGACUACCGGCCGUGGUGACUCCUUGCUGCCCCCAGUCCGCCUGGCCUUGCUGCUAUUCCAGUUUCAACUCUUCUGCCUGCGGUUAUGGAACCCCUACCUGUCCCAGACCUGCUGUUUUCAACUCUUAAUGAUCGGCUAUGAAAAGCCAACUGAGAUUUAUUCCUGAUUAUUAUUUGACCAUGCUUGUCAUUUAUGAACAUUUUGAAAAUCUUGGCUCUCUCUAAUUUUCUCCUUCUCUCUUUCUUUCUCUCGGAGGACCUGGGCCCUAGGACCAUGCAUCGGGACUGCCGCCCGUGGUGACUCCUUGCUGUCCCCAGUCCGCCUGGCCUUGCUGCUAUUCCAGUUUCAGCUGUUCUGCCUGCGGUUAUGGAACCGCCACCUGUCCCAGAUCUGUUGUUUUUCAACUCUUAAUGAUCAGCUAUGAAAAGCCAACUGAAAAUUAUUCAUGAUUAUUAUUUGACCAUGCUUGUCACUUAUGAACGUUUUUGAACAUCUUGGCAUAGUUCUGUUAUAAUCUCCACCCGGCACAGCCAGAAGAGGACUGGCCACCCCUCAUAGCCUGGUUCCUCUCUAGGUUUCUUCCUAGGUUUUGGCCUUUCUAGGGAGUUUUUCCUAGCCACCGUGCUUCUACACCUGCAUUCUAGCUGUUUGGGGUUUUAGGCUGGGUUUCUGUACAGCACUUCGAGAUAUUAUCUGAUGUACGAAGGGCUAUAUAAAAUAAAAUUGAUUGAAAAUUGAUUGAUUUUACGAACUAAAAAAGUUAUUUGUACAAGUAUAGUUUCAACCUCUCCCUGUCUGUGUCUGUAAACCAACAUGUUUCAAGCAGACCGCCAUAGUCCCUGUGCCCAAGAACACUAAGGUAACCUGCCAAAAUGACUACCGACCCAUAGCACUCACGUCUGUUGCCAUGAAGUGCUUUGAAAGGCUGGUCAUGGCUCACAUCAACACAAUUAUCACAGAAACCUAGACCUACUCCAAUUUGUAUACCGUCCGAACAGAUCCACAUAUGAAGCUUCCUGCCAUCCAGGACCUCUAUACCAGGCGGUGUCAGAGGAAGGCCCUAAAAAUUGUCAAAGACUCCAGCCACCCUAGUCAUAGACUGUUCUCUCUGCUACCAAAGUCUAGGUCCAAGAGGCUUCUAAACAGCUUCUACUCCCAAGCCAUAAGUCUACUGUACAUCUAAUCAAAUGGCUACCCAGACUAUUUGCAUCCCCUACUCCCCCCUCUUUUACGCUACUGCUACUCUCUCUAUCAUUAUCUAUGCAUAAGUCACUUUAAUAAUUCUGCUCAUAUGUAUAUAUUACCUUGAAUUACCGUGACUAACCGGUGCACCCCUCACAUUGACUCUGUACCGGUACCCCCUUUAUAUAGCCACGCUAUUGUUACUGCUGCUCAUUAAUUAUUGUUACUUUCAUUUCUUAUUUUUUAAGUAUUUUGUAAUGGUCCUAGCCCUCACCCUCCGAUCCAACAGGUCCCAGACGUGCUCAAUGGGAUUGAGAUCCGGGCUCUUUGCGGGCCAUGGCAGAACACUGACAUUCCUGUCUUGCAGGAAAUCAUGCACAGAACGAGCAGUAUGGCUGGUGGCAUUGUCAUGCUGGAGGGUCAUGUCAGGAUGAGCCUGCAGGAAGGGUACCACAUGAGGGAGGAGGAUGUCUUCCCUGUACCGUACAGCAUUGAGAUUGCCUGCAAUGACAACAAGCUCAGUCCGAUGAUGCUGUGACACACCGCCCCAGACCAUGACGGACCCCCCACCUCCAAAUCAAUCCCGCUCCAGAGUACAGGCCUCGGUGUAACACUCAUUCCUUCGACGAUAAAUGCAAAUCCGACCAUCACCCCUGGUGAGAGAAAACCGUGACUCGUCAGUGAAGAGCACUUUUUGCCAGUCCUGUCUGGUCCAGCGACGGUGGGUUUGUGCCCAUAGGCAACGUUGUUACCGGUGAUGUCUGGUGAGGACCUGCCUAACAACAGGCCUACAAGCCCUCAGUCCAGCCUCUCACAGCCUAUUGCGGACAGUCUGAGCACUGAUGGAGGGAUUGUGCGUUCCUGGUGUAACUCAGGCAGUUGUUGUUGCCAUCCUGUACCUGUCCCGCAGGUGUGAUGUUUUGAUGUACCGAUCCUGUGCAGGUGUUGUUACACGUGGUCUGCCACUGCGAGGACAAUCAGCUCUCCGUCCUGUCUCCCUGUAGCGCUGUCUUAGGUGUCUCACAGUAUGGAUAUUGCAAUUUAUUGCCCUGGCCACAUAUGCAGUCCGCAUGCCUCCUUGCAGCAUGCCUAAGGCACGUUCACGCAGAUGAGCAGGGACCCUGGGCAUCUUCCUUUUGGUGUUUUUCAGUCAGUAGGAAGGCCUCUUUAGUGUCCUAAAUUUUCAUAACUGUGACCUUAAUUGCCUACCGUCUGUAAGCUGUUAGUGUCUUAAUGACUGUUCCACAGGUGCAUGUUCAUUAAUUGUUUAUGGUUCAUUGAACAAGCAUGGAAAACAGUGUUUCAACCCUUUACAUUGAAGAUCUGUGAAGUUAUUCGUUUUUUUACUAAUUAUAUUUGAAAGACAGGGUCCUUAAAAAGAGACGUUUCUUUUUUUGCUGAGUUUAUAUUCAAACUAGCCUAAAGCACACUAUAUUCACUUUUCUUUGUUAGGGUUUUAUCAUGUUAUGCACUGUAAAACAUUUCCUGUAAAAUUACAGUAACAAAUUGGCAUUCAUUUUCCAGUAAGUUACUGUCAUUUAUUUUACAGUAGAGCUACUGUAAAAUUUUACUUUACCACACAUAUUACUGUAAUCUACUUUACAUUAUCGAGUCAGUAAUUGUAAUCUAAUUUACAGUACCAAUUUACAGUACAAACAGCAUAUUAUUGUAAUGACCCAGUGACAUUUACCUUUACUCACAUCAGUCAUAGCAAGUAACACAUUUCUGUAACCAUUACUGUUGUAAAAUGUUGUAGUUAAGCAUACAGUGGUCUUCAGAAUAUAUAUCUAUGACUAUCUCUGCAGAGUGCCAAUACAGUACUAAGCUAUUUACAGUAACUUGAUGCCAGCAUCCUGUAAAUUAUUACAAUAUCCAAAGCAAUUAAAAACAGUACAAUACUGUAAAAGUGACAAAUAAACUGUAUGAUAGAUAUUUUGACAGUAUUUUACAGACAUUUCAAGGGAUUGGAGCAAGCAGGUUGGAUGCUAGGCAUUUGUACUGUAUAUUACAGCAUAUUCAUUAAUAAUAGGAGUGUUUUAUUACUUGCACUUCUAGAGGCCUAAACAAAGGCUUCCAAACUUCCCGUCAGCGGAAAUAAAAUCGCAGCACCCCCACCCCAAACAGCAAGAUUUUCCCACAGCUAUAGACACGCCUUAAAAUAUGUUAAUGAGACAGUGAUUAUUUAUCCUCCCACAAUAAUUUUCCACAAUGCACCAUAAUAUGUGGCGGCAGGUAGCCUAGUGGUUAGAGCGUUGGACUUGUAAUUGUUAGGGAACCACUACCACACAUCAGUUAAAUUAACGUACAGUGUUCUCACUAACAGGUGCAACAAAUAUAGCCUCUUACAAGACAUCUCUCAAAAUAUGUUAAUGAGUCAGAAACAACAAUAUCAUGCACCCACUAGUGUUCAAAAGUUUUUUUCUGCUCCAAAAAUGCAUUAUGGUAUUGUAUUCUGAAUUGCUGCAAUUGGCCAGUAAAUUGCUGUAGAUUUUCAGUUUGUAUUACUGUAUUUUUACUGUAUUUUGUGGGGGUACAGCAUUCUCACUCACGGGUGCAACAAAUAUAGACUCUUACAAGGCACACCUCAAAAUAUGUUAAUGAGCAAGAUACUUUUCCCGCCCACAAAAUUUUCCUCAAUGCACCAUCAUUAAUUCUAUCAAACUCAUUUAAGGUAAUUUUACAGUGUUUACUGUUGCAAUGACAGAAAAGUAGUCUUACAGUGCUCUGCAAAAAAGUAUUACAGUGUUUUACUGUGCAUUCUGCAGUGUUUUACUUUUGAAAUUGCGGAAAAGUCUUAUGUGCUGUAAAACACAUUAACGGGAAUUUAUUGUGCAUUCUACAGUGUUUUACUGUUGAAAUUACAGAAACAUCUUACAGUGUGCAUAAUGCAUGGUAUGAUGAUUAAGUAUGUCUGUCUGUCAAUAUGGCCUAGCUGUCUCUCAGAGAAGCUCCUGACCUCAGUGUGCAGUUCGGCGCCGGGCUCAAUGUGGGCGGAGUCAAAGGCGUUUAACCUGAACCCUUCCCGUCUCCUUCAAGGUCACCCAAGUUGAGGUAAACGUCUGAGGUAUCAACGUCAACGCAAGCGAAUCUUAAUCGAACCUAAUCUACAUGGACAAAAAUAUAAACUACGGAAAAACAUUGCUCGGAUCUUGUCCCUUGGACCUUGGAGGACUUUUGGUGUGGAUGAUGUUCAGGAAGCAGGUGUUCUUCCCAGGUACACCCUAGAGGCGAACGCCAAACAUUUAAAGGCACUGUUUACCCUCCUAGUGUAAUUCGGAUGGACGGGGAAGACCGCAUUACAACCCUUAAAGAACUACAGUUGUAUGAUGGCCUGGAUGAAGAGGAAAAUAUUCUCCUCAAGGAACCAUUCAUGUUACAGAAAGAUUAUGAGAUGUUCUAUGUGGAAGCAGUUGACAACAAGAAAAUAACUGUCUUUGCCUCUUUUGAGGAGCAGGAGUGAAGCCAUUUUUGAGGAGAGGUCAAACCUUGUUUUUGUCUGCUGUGUUAAUUGCUUCAAUUGUUAACUGUUAAUUGUGUUAAUUGUGUUUAGUAGAGAUAAUGUAGAAGUCACCGAGUCUCUGAUCUCUUUACUGGAGCUGGUAUAACUUAAUGUACAAAACACAUUGUACACACAUUCCCUUACAUUACGCUAGCUGUCUAGAGCACAUCGGACUGCUAGCUUAAGAGGCCCAUCGGACAAAUUCUUUGGCCACUAUACCUAUUUUGCCAAUUGGCCUGGUUUACCACACGGAGCCCUGCUGAUCUGUCUGCCGACGUCACAGCACGAGGGGGCCACAACAGACUUUCUUCCGUCAUGACGUCCCUCAAAGGCCCGUCUGCUAGCUUGCCAUCACUGGACUCCUAUGAUCACUUGGCUAUGCAUGCCUCUCCCUAAUGUCAAUAUGCCUUGUCCGUUGCUGUUUUGGUUAGUAAUUAUUGCCUUAUUUCACUGUCGAGCCUCUAGCCCUGCUCAAUACGCCUUAGUUAACCCUUUAGUUCCAUCUCCCACACAUGCGGUGACAUCACCUGGUUUAAAUUAUAUUUCUAGAGACAAUUUCUCUUUCAUCGUCACUCUAUGCACAGGUUUACCCCCACGGUAUUCACAUCCUACCAUACCCUUGUCUGUAUAUUAUGCCUUGAAUGGUCCCGUGUGGCUCAGUUGGUAGAGCAUGGCGCUUCCAACGCCAGGGUUGUGGCUUCAUUUCCCACGGGGGGACCAGGGUUCAAUUCCCACGGGGGGAACAGGAUGAAUAUGUAUGAACUUUCCAAUUUGUAAGUCGCUCUGGAUAAGAGCGUCUGCUAAAUGUAAAUUGAACUUAUUCAAGAAAGAUCCAGUGUAAUACAUUAUAAAAAUAAAGCGAACUGGAUGGAA